rnacentral:rRNA from 1 species
AGUCGAACGGUAGCACAGAGAGCUUGCUCUCGGGUGACGAGUGGCGGACGGGUGAGUAAUGUCUGGGAAACUGCCUGAUGGAGGGGGAUAACUACUGGAAACGGUAGCUAAUACCGCAUAACGUCGCAAGACCAAAGAGGGGGACCUUCGGGCCUCUUGCCAUCAGAUGUGCCCAGAUGGGAUUAGCUAGUAGGUGGGGUAACGGCUCACCUAGGCGACGAUCCCUAGCUGGUCUGAGAGGAUGACCAGCCACACUGGAACUGAGACACGGUCCAGACUCCUACGGGAGGCAGCAGUGGGGAAUAUUGCACAAUGGGCGCAAGCCUGAUGCAGCCAUGCCGCGUGUAUGAAGAAGGCCUUCGGGUUGUAAAGUACUUUCAGCGGGGAGGAAGGUGUUGUGGUUAAUAACCGCAGCAAUUGACGUUACCCGCAGAAGAAGCACCGGCUAACUCCGUGCCAGCAGCCGCGGUAAUACGGAGGGUGCAAGCGUUAAUCGGAAUUACUGGGCGUAAAGCGCACGCAGGCGGUCUGUCAAGUCGGAUGUGAAAUCCCCGGGCUCAACCUGGGAACUGCAUUCGAAACUGGCAGGCUAGAGUCUUGUAGAGGGGGGUAGAAUUCCAGGUGUAGCGGUGAAAUGCGUAGAGAUCUGGAGGAAUACCGGUGGCGAAGGCGGCCCCCUGGACAAAGACUGACGCUCAGGUGCGAAAGCGUGGGGAGCAAACAGG